rnacentral:rRNA from 3 species
GCGACCCCAGGUCAGGCGGGAACACCCGCUGAGUUUAAGCAUAUCAAUAAGCGGAGGAAAAGAAACUUACCAGGAUUCCCUUAGUAACGGCGAGCGAACCGGGAAGAGCCCAG